rnacentral:rRNA from 1 species
GAAUAUUGGACAAUGGGCGAAAGCCUGAUGCAGCGACGCCGCGUGGGUGAAGACGGUUUUCGGACUGUAAAGCCCUUUUCUAGGUGACGAGAGUGGACGGUAGCCUAGGAAUAAGUCUCGGCUAACUACGUGCCAGCAGCCGCGGUAAAACGUAGGAGGCAAGCGUUAUCCGGAGUUACUGGGCGUAAAGCGCGUGCAGGCGGAUAGUUAAGUUACUCAUGAAAGCUCCUGGCUAAACUGGGAGAGGUUGAGUAAAACUGGCUGUCUAGAGUGGAUGAGAGGUAGGUAGAAUUCCUUGUGUAGUGGUGAAAUGCGUAGAUAUAAGGAAGAAUACCGGUGGCGAAGGCGACCGACUGGCAUCCAACUGACGCUCAGACGCGAAAGCAGGGGUAGCGGACGGG